UACGAAGGGGGCUAGCGUUGCUCGGAAUCACUGGGCGUAAAGGGUGCGUAGGCGGGUUUUAAGUCAGGGGUGAAAUCCUGGAGCUCAACUCCAGAACUGCCUUUGAUACUGAAAAUCUUGAGUCCGGGAGAGGUGAGUGGAACUGCGAGUGUAGAGGUGAAAUCGUAGAUAUUCGCAAGAACACCAGUGGCGAAGGCGGCUCACUGGCCCGAUACUGACGCUGAGGCACGAAAGCGUGGGGAGCAAACAGG
rnacentral:rRNA from 1 species